UAGAUGCGAGAGUAGAGCAUAUCAAUAAGCGGAGGAAAAGAAACUAACAAGGAUUCCCCUAGUAACGGCGAGUGAAGCGGGAAGAGCUCAAAUUUGAAAUCUUCAAGGUUUGACCUUGACGAAUUGUAGUUUAAAGAAGUGUUUUCGGUUAGAGGAGUAGUAAAAGUUCUUUGGAAUAGGACAUCAUAGAGGGUGAGAAUCCCGUAUUUGACCGUUACUUUCCAGCUGUGUGAUACACUUUCAAAGAGUCGGAUUGUUUGGGAAUGCAGUCCAAAAUGGGUGGUAAAUUUCAUCUAAAGCUAAAUAUUGGCGAGAGACCGAUAGCGAACAAGUACCGUGAGGGAAAGAUGAAAAGAACUUUGAAAAGAGAGUUAAACAGUACGUGAAAUUGUCAAAAGGGAAGCGUUUGACACCAGUGUUGUUUUUCCGAAAAUCAAUUAAGAAUUGAUUCAUGCCAGGUUGUAUUGACCUUAUCAGCUUGCAAUUUGGUUUUGGGUCUCUUUUUGAUGCACUUUUCGGUUAACAAGUCAACAUCAAUUUCCUUUGCUGUAAAAAGGUAAGAGGAAGGUGGCUUCAAUUUCGGUUGAAGUGUUUAUAGCCUUUUAUCUCUGCAAUCGGAGAGAUUGAGGUCUGCAGCGUAGAUCCUUCGGGUUAGAUACAUUGGUGCUAAGCUAUAGCCUUGUAUAGACAACUUGUUGACUAUGCUCAGUCAUGUAGCUUACUCGCUGAUGCUAUUUUACCUACACUUAGGAUGUUGACACACGCGCGUGCUCG
rnacentral:rRNA from 1 species